CCCGGGAAUUCUAGCCCCGGGAAACAAGGCGCUGGCGAUACAUGCCUGGAAGGCUGGCACCGGCAUCUCUCAGAUGGGCCCAGGGCGUCCCGCCGCCGCCGAAACAGAGCUUCCCGCGGGCCCCGCAGAGUCCCAGGCAGGGCCGGGAUCUGGCCCCCAGCCCCGCGUCACGCGCGCGGCUUCCCCGGGGGCGGCCAGAGCGUGCGCGUGCCGGAGGAGGCCCCCGCCGCCCGCCAGCUGCUGGAAGACCUCAGGCGGCGGCUGGCGAGCGCCUUCCAGCGGGCGGCGGCGCGCGAGCAGCAGAGCCGGGCGUGCUUCGAGGGCGCACUGGGCCGGCUGAGCGCCGAGCUGAGAAGUGGUUCUAGGUGCUGAAGAAUGAAGAAAAAUGUGCCAGAGGAAAAACGGAAAGAAAAUUUUAUCCAAAGACUUUAUGUUGCAAAUUGAGAGGGGAUCAUCAAUAUUUGCUUUUUACAACAGAACACCCUGGCUCGUCCUGGGUGUUUUCUUUGAUGAGUUGAUGAAGAGUUUUAAGCAGAGAGAACAGGGUGCUUAUGAAGUGCAUUAAACAAGAUGAUAAUUGAAGAAAUUUGUGAAUAGUUGAUUACUAGUUUUCAACUGUCAUGCAGAGAUGAUGUUGGACUAAGCCUUGUUGGACUGCCUUCUAGUUUUAGCUGGAAAUGCAUUUCCAAAAUCGCCAACUGGUCAGAACUGUACUGGAUUUAAACAUGAAAAUGCAGCAAUUGAAAAAGGAGUAUGAACUGGAAAUUGCAUCAAAAUCUCAAAGCUCAGAAGAUAAUUCUCUGAAUCGGGAAUAAGGAAAUGCACGCUUGAAGAUCAGAACCCUAAAAAUAACAUAGACAUCUCUGAAACAGUUCUGACAGUAACAUCAUGCAUGCCUUGCAUAAGAUUUUAGGGGCAAUUUGUAGGCCCAAACUUAGAUGCCAUGGGGAAGUGACAGAAAAUGUCUAAGAGGGAAGAGAUAGAAAAUGAUAUAUGACCAAGUUUUGGCCGAGAAGUGAAAAAAAUAUGUACUGAAGAAUGCUUUAAUGCCAAUUUCUAGUAUGCUAUUUUGUGCCACCUUAACUUUCUGGCAUUGCCUGAACUUUCGGAAUCUGUGCAUGUUUUUAUUUUACUUGAUUAUUCUUGGCUUGUCUGUCCAGUUAGUUAUUCUGUAGCUACCCCCCGCCCCCCACCACUAAGUAUCCCACUAUCCAUCUCCCCACGGAUAUAGUCAUGCAGAUCAAGCCAGGUUGAUCAGCUUGUCUCAGGAGUUUUUGAACUAGAACUAAGGGAGUAGAUGAGUAUUUCCUGAUGGUAGAAACUGUGCAAUAGCGGGGUUUGGAAGCUGCUGGUGGCCACCACGUGAGAAAGUGUGAGCUCUAAUGAAGGAGGUUGAAACUGUACCGCUGGGAGGACAGAAAAAGACGGAAAGAACUGAACUUCCUUGUCCCUGGGGUCGAGCUGUCUAAAACCCCAGCCCUUGCUGUCAUCUAGAUAUCUGAAAAUACUCUAAUAGCCUCCUAAUAAAGUCUCCUUUUGCCUAAGUCAAUUGAGUUGGACUUUUAUGACUUGUACUCAAAAGAUUCUUGACUAACACAAUUCCUUUGUUUACGCUUUUAGGAGUUAAAAUGGUUCUUGUUGAAUUAGAAUAUCUACCUCUAAACCCUGAAAGUGCUGCCUUCUUAGUGCAGAG
ensembl:lncRNA